CUAAAUUACUAUUACCAACAGUAUGACAAUAAUUGGUACUUACCUAUCAUUUGUGAGAAAACUUUUAUCGUGCCGCCUGUCCACAUAACAAACUAUACAGGUAUAGUUACUAUUCGGUCGACAAAACUAUAUUAUUCGUUACGGUCAUUAUACCCAGGCAUAAUAAUUGACCGGACUCCGGUUAUCGUGUUGUUGUUUUUUUUUUU